UCUCUUUCAUUAGAGAUUUUGAGAGAAUUAGAGAAACAUUCCAAAUGAACAAUAACAUUACUAUAAACAGGAAGAAAUUAAGUUCACGGUUGAGUGCUCAAACUCCAACACAUAAUCCCCCUUUUAUAAAUACAACCCACGCAAUGCAAUAUUGCAGUGCCCAAUAAUAUUUCGAACCAAACUAAAAUCCUUAGCUUCGACGCAAUGAUGAUCCGUAGUUGUUUCUUCGGGAAGAAAAUCAGAAACAAAGAAAAGCAAAAUCAUGAUAGCAGCAGCAGCAGCAAGAUGAUGACGAUGAUGAGAAGAAUGAAAGGAAGUGUUGUGCUGAUGAAGAAGAAUGUUUUGGAGCUCACUGACUUGAAUGCUUCCCUUGUUGAUCGUCUCGACGAGCUCCUCGGCCAUAGGGUCUCUCUGCACCUCAUCAGCUCUCUUCAUGGUGAUCCUCGUACGUGACCGUCAGCUUUCUCUCUAUCUCUCUCUUCCUGCUUCGUCUUUCAUUUUCCUUCCAUUUCUUGUUUUCAAGCAUGUAAGGGAAAAAUAGUUAGCAAACAAGCAAUUGCAUGAGAGUGCACCCUACAUACAAUAAUAGUCUUCAUUUGUGGAGUAAUCCUUCGGUACAUGUGGGUAUUGUGAGUACACUUUUAUAUAAUUUUGUAUAUCUUAUGCUUAAAAUUAUGAGUUUUGAUGUUUUUGUUUAGUGUUUAGGUGUUUAAGACAAAGCUUAUUAUUCACUACUUAUUUGCAUGUUCGCAGAGAAUGAUAACAAAGGAAAGGUUGGAAAGGUAGCAUACUUGGAGAACUGGAUUCCCACAAUUGCUCCCUUAACUGCUGCUCAGACAUCCUAUAACGUCACAUUUGACUGGGAAGAGGAAGCUAUCGGGAUUCCAGGAGGGUUCCUUAUCAAGAACAACCACCACAGUGAGUUCUUCCUCAAGUCUCUCACCCUCGAAGAUGUUCCUGGUGAAGGCAGGAUGCACUUCGUCUGCAACUCCUGGGUUUAUCCUGCCAAACAAUACGAGGGAAAAAACCGUAUUUUCUUUACUAACAAGGUGGCCUAAUUAAAACCUCAUUCCUUGCUCCAAAAUUCAUAUUCGUUAAAUGAUAUUCUGAUCAGCUGUUAAACAAAUUGUAUUCGUUUCGCACAACAGACAUAUCUACCACACCAGACGCCAUUGCCACUAGUUAAGUAUAGAGAGGAAGAGUUGGUUACCUUGAGAGGAAAUGGAGAAGGGGAGCUUCAAGAAUGGGACAGGGUCUAUGACUAUGCUUGUUACAAUGAUUUGGGAGAUCCCGAUUGCAGUCCGGAGCAUGCUCGACCGACUCUUGGAGGAUCGGUUGACUUCCCAUAUCCUCGU
rnacentral:lncRNA from 1 species